UCCCUGGUAGUAUAUCGGUUAGUACACGCGCCUGUCAUUUACAUGAAUGUCAUUGAGAAGACGCGCGAAAGCUGGGUUCGACUCCCAGCCAGGGAG